rnacentral:rRNA from 1 species
GAUGAACGCUGGCGGCGUGCCUAAUACAUGCAAGUCGAGCGAACGGACGAGAAGCUUGCUUCUCUGAUGUUAGCGGCGGACGGGUGAGUAACACGUGGAUAACCUACCUAUAAGACUGGGAUAACUUCGGGAAACCGGAGCUAAUACCGGAUAAUAUUUUGAACCGCAUGGUUCAAAAGUGAAAGACGGUCUUGCUGUCACUUAUAGAUGGAUCCGCGCUGCAUUAGCUAGUUGGUAAGGUAACGGCUUACCAAGGCAACGAUGCAUAGCCGACCUGAGAGGGUGAUCGGCCGCACUGGAACUGAGACACGGUCCAGACUCCUACGGGAGGCAGCAGUAGGGAAUCUUCCGCAAUGGGCGAAAGCCUGACGGAGCAACGCCGCGUGAGUGAUGAAGGUCUUCGGAUCGUAAAACUCUGUUAUUAGGGAAGAACAUAUGUGUAAGUAACUGUGCACAUCUUGACGGUACCUAAUCAGAAAGCCACGGCUAACUACGUGCCAGCAGCCGCGGUAAUACGUAGGUGGCAAGCGUUAUCCGGAAUUAUUGGGCGUAAAGCGCGCGUAGGCGGUUUUUUAAGUCUGAUGUGAAAGCCCACGGCUCAACCGUGGAGGGUCAUUGGAAACUGGAAAACUUGAGUGCAGAAGAGGAAAGUGGAAUUCCAUGUGUAGCGGUGAAAUGCGCAGAGAUAUGGAGGAACACCAGUGGCGAAGGCGACUUUCUGGUCUGUAACUGACGCUGAUGUGCGAAAGCGUGGGGAUCAAACAGGAUUAGAUACCCUGGUAGUCCACGCCGUAAACGAUGAGUGCUAAGUGUUAGGGGGUUUCCGCCCCUUAGUGCUGCAGCUAACGCAUUAAGCACUCCGCCUGGGGAGUACGACCGCAAGGUUGAAACUCAAAGGAAUUGACGGGGACCCGCACAAGCGGUGGAGCAUGUGGUUUAAUUCGAAGCAACGCGAAGAACCUUACCAAAUCUUGACAUCCUUUGACAACUCUAGAGAUAGAGCCUUCCCCUUCGGGGGACAAAGUGACAGGUGGUGCAUGGUCGUCGUCAGCUCGUGUCGUGAGAUGUUGGGUUAAGUCCCGCAACGAGCGCAACCCUUAAGCUUAGUUGCCAUCAUUAAGUUGGGCACUCUAAGUUGACUGCCGGUGACAAACCGGAGGAAGGUGGGGAUGACGUCAAAUCAUCAUGCCCCUUAUGAUUUGGGCUACACACGUGCUACAAUGGACAAUACAAAGGGCAGCGAAACCGCGAGGUCAAGCAAAUCCCAUAAAGUUGUUCUCAGUUCGGAUUGUAGUCUGCAACUCGACUACAUGAAGCUGGAAUCGCUAGUAAUCGUAGAUCAGCAUGCUACGGUGAAUACGUUCCCGGGUCU